CCUACGGGAGACAGCAGUAAGGAAUAUUGGACAAUGGUCGCAAGACUGAUCCAGCCAUGCCGCGUGCAGGAUGACUGCCCUAUGGGUUGUAAACUGCUUUUGUACGGGAAUAAACCCCUCUACGUGUAGAAGGCUGAAUGUACCGUAAGAAUAAGGAUCGGCUAACUUCGUGCCAGCAGCCGCGGUAAGACGAAGGAUCCAAGCGUUAUCCGGAUUUAUUGGGUUUAAAGGGUGCGUAGGCGGAUUGAUAAGUCAGUGGUGAAAGCCUGUUGCUUAACAACAGAACUGCCAUUGAUACUGUCAAUCUUGAAUAUGUUUGAUGUGGGCGGAAUAUGACAUGUAGCGGUGAAAUGCUUAGAUAUGUCAUAGAACACCGAUUGCGAAGGCAGCUCACAAAGCCAUUAUUGACGCUGAGGCACGAAAGCGUGGGGAUCAAACAGGAUUAGAUACCCUGGUAGUCCACGCUGUAAACUUUGAUCACUCNCUGUUGGUCGAGUACACUGUCGAGCGGCGUAAGUAACGGAAAGUACGUUAAGUUAGUAGUUCCGUUACCGUCGGGGAGGUUACGGAGUCGCGAGAGUUAGUUAACGUUACGAAGUUAGAAGUUAGGUUACGGACGUUGGAGGACGUUAGACCGACGGACGACGAACGAACGGGGAAGGUAAGGAAG
rnacentral:rRNA from 1 species